UGCACCACCCUAGGGGGUGGGGCCUCCCUGAAAGGGGUGACUCUGAUGGCGUGAGGCUGCAGCCUAGGCCCCCGAAGCAGAGAUAGGCUUGCAGUGGCCUGGGUCCCCAGAAGCAAGCCGAAUAAGGACAGUGCUCCCAACCGAGAGCUGACAGCUGGCAGAGAGCAAGAGGUAUGGCCCUAGAGAAGAGGAAGCUGAGGUUGGUUGAGGUAGGGGUGGACGGGUGGGGUGGGGGCGUGGUGGCAGAUAUGCAUGAAGGUGCACAAAAGGCUGGUGGCAAAGGUGUGCAGCACAAGCCCUCCCGGACAUAAAAGGACAGAGAAAGUGAUACCACUUGGAGAGUUGGGGUCUGGGAGUGGAGUCCUCCAGUUGGGGCACGCCCACCUACAGACAUGCCUCCCCGAGGACAGCUUUACCAGCCACCAGAGAGGAAGACAGUUACAUUCUAUCUCCCUACUGUGGCACAAUACCUUGCUGGGCCAUAUGCAGGAUGAAAAACGAGGUGCCUGACACCCAGUAAUCCUGAAAUGAUCCCUACAGGGUUCCCUGCUUACUGAGAAGAACAAACAGAAAACUUGCAGGCCGGCCACUCAAGCAAUAAGGGAGGAGUGUAGUGGAGAGCCCCCCACCCUUACUGUAUCCCUGUCCCCUGGGUCAUGCAGUAAUCGGACCCCACUUAGUGGUCUAAAGGGCUUCCCUUGUGGCUCAGCUGGUAAUACACCUGCAAUGCAGGAGACCUGGGUUUGAUCCCUGGGCUGGGAAGAUCCCCGGGAAAAGGGAAAGGCUACCCACUCCAGUAUUCUGGCCUGGAUAAUUCCAUGGACAAUAUAGUCCAUGGGGUCGCAAAGAGUCAGACAUGACUGAGCGACUUUGACUUCACUCACUUCACUAUGGGUCUCGUGGCAACAGGACAUGGUGGCAGAGGGUCUGGAGGACAAUUGGUGUCCCCUUGCAAGGCAUUGGCACCAGGUGAGGUAAUGACACAGUCCUCAAAGGACAGAACACCAGCAUCCCAGACACAGCUGGGCAAGCUACUUCCGUCAGCAAGGGAGGCUCUGCGGGACUGUCAGCUUCCACUGAGGGCAAACAAAUAUCCCAAGUCUCGGUUUUAAGGCCCCACUCAUCCACGCAGUGGAAGGCUGCACAGGCGCCGGCCUGAAGCCUGAUUCUGGGGGAGGUCGCUGAGGUGACUGCACCCGGACUGCCCACUCGAGGAGCCCCUUGGACGGCUAGGGAGCCCGCACCCACAUGAAGACAAUUACCUGAGGUGAGCUGAGUGCCAGGCUGUGACGGUGCAGGAGCGGCCAAGAGGAGCUACCCCACGCCCAAGGCCAGGGGUGGCGGCUGAGAGGAGCAACCCCAUGUCCAAGGAGCGGUGGCUGCGUGGGUGCAGGAGGGCCAAGAGGAGCUAUUCCACGUUCAAGGUCAGGAGGGGCGGUGGUGAAGAGAUACCCCUCGUCCAAGAUAAGGAGCAGCAGCUGUGCUUUGCUGGAGCAGCCAUGAAGAGAUACCCCACGCCCAAGACUGAUCCAAGGACCGGGGAUAUUCAGUGGGACUCACCUCCGAUGCUUUCAAGACAAGCUGAUGUGCGAUACAAUGCCCCAGGAACCUCCUUGGGAGCCAUAUGGAGAGCAUAGCCUGCAAAAGGGCUUCCCUGAGAGCUCAGUUGGUAAAGAAUCCAUCUGGAAUGCAGAAGACCUCGGUUUGAUUCCCGGGUUGGGAAGAUCCACUGGAGAAGGGAUAGGCUACCGACUCCAGUAUUCUUGGGCUUCCCUAGUGGCUCAGGUGGUAAAGAAUCCACCUGCAGUGCGGGUGACCUGGGUUCAAUCCCUGGGUUGGGAAGAUCCCCGGGAAAUGGAAGAGCUACUGACUCCAGUAUUCUGGCCCAGAGAAUUCCAUGGAGUGAGUCGCACAGAGUUGGACAUGACUAAGAGACUUUCACUUCACUUCACAUCCUGCAAAAGGAGGUCAGGCUUAGAGGCCAGUGUCCCUAUCCACCCUUCCCUCCUGCUAGCUAGAGAUUCAAAACAAGCUGCUCAAGCCUUCCUGUCCUCAUUUGCUCAUCUGGAGAAGGGGGUGACAUGCUACCAACUUCCUAGAGCUGCCACGAGGCUCGGAUGGAUGAGUCCAGGCACGUAGCAGACACUCCCAGUCCUUACCGAAAAUUAUAUCAUCUGGCCUCUGACAGUGAUGCCCUGGGGAUGUAACAGGGCCACUCCUCUCUCUGAGGGACCUGCCAGCAUUCCAUGAGGAUGGGUGGUGUUUUCAACAUGAGAUAGCAGACCUGUCUUCAGCCGGCCCUCUGGGAGUCCUGAGUGGGAAGCCAGGGGUGAGGUGUCCCUUUUAGGAACAUUCGCUCUGCCUUGAGCCCGGCAGUAUGACCACAGUGCCGCGGGUCGGGGGGAGCCUCCCUCAGCCAGUGGUUUGUUGAACCCCAAUGUGUGUGGCAGAGGGAUGGAAGCCCCUGCUUGUAGAUGAUGGGGACCGGUUCUCCUGCUCACUCAGAUGCAUACUGGGAUGGACCUAGUUCCUUUUACAGCCUUGUCCCUCCUU
ensembl:lncRNA